CAGGGGAAUGGUGAUUGAUGCAAAUAGAUUAGUACACAGAUCGCUUUCUUAUGGAUAAAUGACUCUUGAAUCUAUAGUGUGGAAAUACUGAGUGAGAGUGUAGGUACUUGUUAGGGACAAAGGUGCUAAGCGUGACCAACAUAAGUAGACACUUGAAUAUCUACCUUCUCAUUGUGACAUACUCGAUGCUGCAGUAGUGUGAAUAGUUCUUCGACCUAUGGUGCCUCAACUAUUUACAAUAAGGUUACUGUAGUUUGACUAAAUCAUAACUUGAUCUCCUAAUCAUACAAAGCCUUGAGGUAUAUUUGACUACAGUAGAUUCAUUAUAGGAAGAGGGUGUGCACCUAUAUAGGAUCUAUCGAUCCUGAUAGUUAGCGAGAAGUCCUAUGAGGAUCAUGAAACUGAGUUUGGAAGUUCAUGACCAUAGCAAGUGUAAAUGAUGAAAAGAAGUUUCUAUGAAGAUUUACUAAGAACUCAGAUUGAUUGAAUUUUACAUAUGACAAGAUCAGGUUAAUGAGUUAUCCGUUACCUUAAUCUUGUCGAGACUCAC
rnacentral:lncRNA from 1 species